rnacentral:lncRNA from 1 species
GUUGGCUUCUGGUGCGUAUCGGACUCCGUUCAUAGCAGUCCAAUAGCUCGUUUCGAUCGGUUUAGCUGUUCUAGAACUAAUGGCGCUGACGGAUUCUGAGUUUGAUGCACGGAUUUCGAGAAAAUCCAAUAAAAUGUGUUUUAUAUGUAAUUGUGCGUGAUGUUUGGCCUUUUGGAGAGAGAGUGGAUUUCGUCGCAAAUCCGCGACCGUUUGAGGUGAAACGAAAUCGUAGCUUUGUUGUCUCCGAGGUGCUGAUCGCACUGGUGCGAUCCGUUCGCAAAUCCGACGGACGGAUCUGCGGAGAUCGCACGUUGAUCGAGGAGAGGUCGGUGAGGGCAAAUUGGUAUUUUUGCGAAAGUCGCGAUAUUUUAUGUACCGUUUUGUGUGAGAUCGCACGUGGAGGGGUAUUCACGCAUUUUACUCAGGCUGGGA